UGGGGGUUGUAUGAUGGAAUAACUGGUGUAUUACAGUAGCUGUAGGCAGAGAGCUCCGGGUUUCUUCAUUUUCAAGAUAAUCAGGCUGGAUGCAGAUAGAGCUUACCAGAUGGGAUGUCGGUGGCAUUAAUAGUGAGAUGAGCAAAAGGCUGAGCUUCAAGCUUGCUCCUCUUGGCCAGAUCUAACCAUGAGCCAUCCACCAUCGCUGGAGAUGAGAGAAACCAUAUUAUUAUAGCCAAAAUAGUAGUGACCCUGUGGGAUUUCAUACAGAUGUAUGGAUCCAUGCUUACCUUUCUCUGCUCUGAUGUGCUGUGAUCCAACGAUAUGUUGUAAUUCCUGAAAUAAAAAGGAAAAAUAAUUUUA